rnacentral:lncRNA from 1 species
UUAUCUUUUGUAUCAGCAGUAGUGUGGCCAGCAGGACCAGGGCAGGGAUUGUCCCCCUGUACUCAGAACUACUGAGGCCACACCUCAAAUCCUGUGUUCAGUUCUGGGCCCCUCACUACAAGAAGGACACUGAAGUGCUGGAGAAGAGCAGUGAAGCUGGGGAAGGGUCUGGAGGUCUAAAGGAAAAUCAGUUUCAUUUUGAUUAAAUUCAGGUGAUGGUCCAAAUUCCCUGCUGGCCUGAGGCAUUCCAGUUUCAUCAGCUUCAAGGAACUUGUGUGCCCAUCCAUCAUGCCUUCCUGAAGAAGCUGUUCAUCUCUUCUCAGGUCCCAGAUGUGCACCCAUAUCUAUGUCUUUGUUGCCUGUGA